rnacentral:rRNA from 1 species
AUACGUAGGGUGCAAGCGUUAAUCGGAAUUACUGGGCGUAAAGCGUGCGCAGGCGGUUUUGUAAGACAGAGGUGAAAUCCCCGGGCUCAACCUGGGAACUGCCUUUGUGACUGCAAGGCUAGAGGACGGCAGAGGGGGAUGGAAUUCCGCGUGUAGCAGUGAAAUGCGUAGAUAUGCGGAGGAACACCGAUGGCGAAGGCAAUCCCCUGGGCCUGCACUGACGCUCAUGCACGAAAGCGUGGGGAGCAAACAGGAUUAGAUACCCUGGUAGUCCACGCCCUAAACGAUGUCAACUGGUUGUUGGGGAUUUAUUUUCUCAGUAACGAAGCUAACGCGUGAAGUUGACCGCCUGGGGAGUACGGCCGCAAGGUUAAAACUUAAAGGAAUUGACGGGG